GACGAACGCUGGCGGCGUGCCUAAUACAUGCAAGUAGAACGCACAGUUUAUACCGUAGCUUGCUACACCAUAGACUGUGAGUUGCGAACGGGUGAGUAACGCGUAGGUAACCUGCCUGGUAGCGGGGGAUAACUAUUGGAAACGAUAGCUAAUACCGCAUAAUAUUAAUUAUUGCAUGAUAAUUGAUUGAAAGAUGCAACUGCAUCACUACCAGAUGGACCUGCGUUGUAUUAGCUAGUAGGUGAGGUAACGGCUCACCUAGGCGACGAUACAUAGCCGACCUGAGGGGGUGAUCGGCCACACUGGGACUGAGACACGGCCCAGACUCCUACGGGAGGCAGCCGUAGGGAAUCUUCGGCAAUAGACGAAAGUCUGACCGAGCAACGCCGCGUGAGUGAAGAAGGGUUUCGGAUCGUAAAGCUCUGUUGUAAGAGAAGAACGGGUGUGAGAGUGGAAAGUUCACACUGUGACGGUAUCUUACCAGAAAGGGACGGCUAACUACGUG
rnacentral:rRNA from 1 species